rnacentral:rRNA from 1 species
CCUACGGGAGGCAGCAGUGGGGAAUAUUGCACAAUGGGGGAAACCCUGAUGCAGCGACGCCGCGUGAGUGAAGAAGUAAUUCGUUACGUAAAGCUCUAUCAGCAGGGAAGAAACACUGACCUUACGGUCAGCAGACGGUACCUGAGUAAGAAGCACCGGCUAACUACGUGCCAGCAGCCGCGGUAAUACGUAGGGGGCAAGCGUUAUCCGGAUUUACUGGGUGUAAAGGGAGCGUAGACGGUGCGCCAAGUCUGGAGUGAAAUGCCGCAGCUUAACUGCGGAACUGCUUUGGAAACUGGCGAACUAGAGUGCGGGAGGGGUAAGCGGAAUUCCUAGUGUAGCGGUGAAAUGCGUAGAUAUUAGGAAGAACACCGGUGGCGAAGGCGGCUUACUGGACCGUAACUGACGUUGAGGCUCGAAAGCGUGGGGAGCAAACAGGAUUAGAUACCCGGGUAGUC